UUGAACGCUGGCGGCGGGCAUAACACAUGCAAGUCGAACGGUAACAGGAAGAAGCUUGCUUCUUUGCUGACGAGUGGCGGCCGGGUGAGUAAUGUCUGGGAAACUGCCUGAUGGAGGGGGAUAACUACUGGAAACGGUAGCUAAUACCGCAUAACGUCGCAAGACCAAAGAGGGGGACCUUCGGGCCUCUUGCCAUCGGAUGUGCCCAGAUGGGAUUAGCUAGUAGGUGGGGUAACGGCUCACCUAGGCGACGAUCCCUAGCUGGUCUGAGAGGAUGACCAGCCACACUGGAACUGAGACACGGUCCAGACUCCUACGGGAGGCAGCAGUGGGGAAUAUUGCACAAUGGGCGCAAGCCUGAUGCAGCCAUGCCGCGUGUAUGAAGAAGGCCUUCGGGUUGUAAAGUACUUUCAGCGGGGAGGAAGGGAGUAAAGUUAAUACCUUUGCUCAUUGACGUUACCCGCAGAAGAAGCACCGGCUAACUCCGUG
rnacentral:rRNA from 1 species